rnacentral:rRNA from 1 species
GUGAUCCGCUCCCAUCCAAGGAGGCAGCAGGCGCGCAAAUUACCCACUCUCAGCACGAGGAGGUAGUGACGAAAAAUAACGAGACAGUCCUCUAUGAGGUCUGUCAUCGGAAUGGGUACAAUUUAAACCCUUUAACGAGGAUCAAUUGGAGGGCAAGUCUGGUGCCAGCAGCCGCGGUAAUUCCAGCUCCAAUAGCGUAUAUUAAAGUUGUUGCGGUUAAAAAGCUCGUAGUUGGAUCUGCGGUCAUUGACGACGGUCGCCCACUGGGUUGUACUGAUCUGUCAUGACCUACCUUACUGGUUUCCUCUUGGUGCUCUUUACUGAGUGCCUUGAGCGACUAGUACGUUUACUUUGAAAAAAUUAGAGUGCUCAACGCAGGCAUUUGCCUGAAUAGUGGUGCAUGGAAUAAUGGAAUAGGACCUCGGUUCUAUUUUGUUGGUUUUCGGAGCGCGAGGUAAUGAUUAAGAGGGACAGACGGGGGCAUUCGUACUGCUACGUUAGAGGUGAAAUUCUUGGAUCGUAGCAUGACGAACAACUGCGAAAGCAUUUGCCAAGAAUGUUUUCAUUAAUCAAGAACGAUAGUUAGAGGUUCGAAGGCGAUCAGAUACCGCCCUAGUUCUAACCGUAAACGAUGCCAACUAGCAAUCCGCUGGCGUUAAAAAUGACCCAGCGGGCGGCUGCCCGGAAACGAUUAAGUGUUUCGGUUCCGGGGGAAGUAUGGUUGCAAAGUUGAAACUUAAAGGAAUUGACGGAAGGGCACCACCAGGAGUGGAGCCUGCGGCUUAAUUUGACUCACACGGGAAACUCACCCGGCCCGGACACUGUAAGGAUUGACAGAUUGAAAGCUCUUUCACGAUUCAGUGGUGGUGUGCAUGGCCCGUUCUUAGUUGUGAAGCGAUUUUGUCUGGUUAAUUCCGAUAACGAACGAAGACUCUAGCCUACUAAAAUAGUGUGUUGAUCUUUACGUCAACACUACUUCUUAAGAGGGACAAAACGACAUCUAGUCGUACGAAAUUGAGCAAUAACAGGUCUUGUGAUGCCAUAGAAUGUCGGGGCUGCACGGCGCGCUAAACUGAUAGCAUCAACGUGCUUCUCAACCUUUUUCUGAAAAGAAUGGCUAAACA